GCUGGAGUUGCUAGUAAUCGCGAAUCAGCAUGUCGCGGUGAAUACGUUCCCGGGCCUUGUACACACCGCCCGUCACACCAUGAGAGUUGGCAAUACCCAACGUACGUGAUCUAACCCGCAAGGGAGGAAGCGUCCUAAGGUAGGGUCAGCGAUUGGGGUGAAGUCGUAACAAGGUAUC
rnacentral:rRNA from 1 species